rnacentral:rRNA from 1 species
UACGGAGGGGGCUAGCGUUGUUCGGAAUUACUGGGCGUAAAGGGCUCGUAGGUGGCCAACUAAGUCAGACGUGAAAUCCCUCGGCUUAACCGGGGAACUGCGUCUGAUACUGGAUGGCUUGAGUUCGGGAGAGGGAUGCGGAAUUCCAGGUGUAGCGGUGAAAUGCGUAGAUAUCUGGAGGAACACCGGUGGCGAAGGCGGCAUCCUGGACCGACACUGACGCUGAUGAGCGAAAGCCAGGGGAGCAAACGGG